rnacentral:rRNA from 1 species
CGCGUAGGCGGCCGGUCGCGUCGGAUGUGAAAGCCCCGGGCUCAACCUGGGAGGUGCAUCCGAUACGGGCUGGCUUGAGAGCGGGAGAGGAGUGUGGAAUUCCCAGUGUAGAGGUGAAAUUCGUAGAUAUUGGGAAGAACACCAGUGGCGAAGGCGGCACUCUGGCCCGUUUCUGACGCUGAGGCGCGAAAGCGUGGGGAGCAAACA